UUUUAUACUGCCUUUAUGUUCCUAAUGUUGUACACCACCCUGAUCUCUUUAGCUAAAGAUAUCAGGGUGGUGUAGAACAUUAAGAAUGUAAUUUU